AAAACGACUCUCGGCAACGGAUAUCUCGGCUCUCGCAUCGAUGAAGAACGUAGCGAAAUGCGAUACUUGGUGUGAAUUGCAGAAUCCCGUGAACCAUCGAGUCUUUGAACGCAAGUUGCGCCCCAAGCCUUCUGGCCGAGGGCACGUCUGCCUGGGUGUCA
rnacentral:rRNA from 1 species